UUAAGCGACUAAGCGUACACGGUGGAUGCCCUGGCAGUCAGAGGCGAUGAAGGACGUGCUAAUCUGCGAUAAGCGUCGGUGAGGUGAUAUGAACCGUUAUAACCGGCGAUUUCCGAAUGGGGAAACCCAGUGUGUUUCGACACACUAUCAUUAACUGAAUCCAUAGGUUAAUGAGGCGAACCGGGGGAACUGAAACAUCUAAGUACCCCGAGGAAAAGAAAUCAACCGAGAUUCCCCCAGUAGCGGCGAGCGAACGGGGAGGAGCCCAGAGCCUGAAUCAGUGUGUGUGUUAGUGGAAGCGUCUGGAAAGGCGUGCGAUACAGGGUGACAGCCCCGUACACAAAAAUGCACAUAUUGUGAGCUCGAUGAGUAGGGCGGGACACGUGGUAUCCUGUCUGAAUAUGGGGGGACCAUCCUCCAAGGCUAAAUACUCCUGACUGACCGAUAGUGAACCAGUACCGUGAGGGAAAGGCGAAAAGAACCCCGGCGAGGGGAGUGAAAAAGAACCUGAAACCGUGUACGUACAAGCAGUGGGAGCCUCUUAAUGGGGUGACUGCGUACCUUUUGUAUAAUGGGUCAGCGACUUAUAUUCUGUAGCAAGGUUAACCGAAUAGGGGAGCCGAAGGGAAACCGAGUCUUAACUGGGCGUUAAGUUGCAGGGUAUAGACCCGAAACCCGGUGAUCUAGCCAUGGGCAGGUUGAAGGUUGGGUAACACUAACUGGAGGACCGAACCGACUAAUGUUGAAAAAUUAGCGGAUGACUUGUGGCUGGGGGGGAAAGGCCAAUCAAACCGGGAGAUAGCUGGUUCUCCCCGAAAGCUAUUUAGGUAGCGCCUCGUGAAUUCAUCUCCGGGGGUAGAGCACUGUUUCGGCAAGGGGGUCAUCCCGACUUACCAACCCGAUGCAAACUGCGAAUACCGGAGAAUGUUAUCACGGGAGACACACGGCGGGUGCUAACGUCCGUCGUGAAGAGGGAAACAACCCAGACCGCCAGCUAAGGUCCCAAAGUCAUGGUUAAGUGGGAAACGAUGUGGGAAGGCCCAGACAGCCAGGAUGUUGGCUUAGAAGCAGCCAUCAUUUAAAGAAAGCGUAAUAGCUCACUGGUCGAGUCGGCCUGCGCGGAAGAUGUAACGGGGCUAAACCAUGCACCGAAGCUGCGGCAGCGACACUAUGUGUUGUUGGGUAGGGGAGCGUUCUGUAAGCCUGUGAAGGUGGCCUGUGAGGGUUGCUGGAGGUAUCAGAAGUGCGAAUGCUGACAUAAGUAACGAUAAAGCGGGUGAAAAGCCCGCUCGCCGGAAGACCAAGGGUUCCUGUCCAACGUUAAUCGGGGCAGGGUGAGUCGACCCCUAAGGCGAGGCCGAAAGGCGUAGUCGAUGGGAAACAGGUUAAUAUUCCUGUACUUGGUGUUACUGCGAAGGGGGGACGGAGAAGGCUAUGUUGGCCGGGCGACGGUUGUCCCGGUUUAAGCGUGUAGGCUGGUUUUCCAGGCAAAUCCGGAAAACCAAGGCUGAGGCGUGAUGACGAGGCACUACGGUGCUGAAGUGACAAAUGCCCUGCUUCCAGGAAAAGCCUCUAAGCAUCAGGUAACAUCAAAUCGUACCCCAAACCGACACAGGUGGUCAGGUAGAGAAUACCAAGGCGCUUGAGAGAACUCGGGUGAAGGAACUAGGCAAAAUGGUGCCGUAACUUCGGGAGAAGGCACGCUGAUAUGUAGGUGAAGCGACUUGCUCGUGGAGCUGAAAUCAGUCGAAGAUACCAGCUGGCUGCAACUGUUUAUUAAAAACACAGCACUGUGCAAACACGAAAGUGGACGUAUACGGUGUGACGCCUGCCCGGUGCCGGAAGGUUAAUUGAUGGGGUUAGCGGCAACGCGAAGCUCUUGAUCGAAGCCCCGGUAAACGGCGGCCGUAACUAUAACGGUCCUAAGGUAGCGAAAUUCCUUGUCGGGUAAGUUCCGACCUGCACGAAUGGCGUAAUGAUGGCCAGGCUGUCUCCACCCGAGACUCAGUGAAAUUGAACUCGCUGUGAAGAUGCAGUGUACCCGCGGCAAGACGGAAAGACCCCGUGAACCUUUACUAUAGCUUGACACUGAACAUUGAGCCUUGAUGUGUAGGAUAGGUGGGAGGCUUUGAAGUGUGGACGCCAGUCUGCAUGGAGCCGACCUUGAAAUACCACCCUUUAAUGUUUGAUGUUCUAACGUUGGCCCGUAAUCCGGGUUGCGGACAGUGUCUGGUGGGUAGUUUGACUGGGGCGGUCUCCUCCUAAAGAGUAACGGAGGAGCACGAAGGUUGGCUAAUCCUGGUCGGACAUCAGGAGGUUAGUGCAAUGGCAUAAGCCAGCUUGACUGCGAGCGUGACGGCGCGAGCAGGUGCGAAAGCAGGUCAUAGUGAUCCGGUGGUUCUGAAUGGAAGGGCCAUCGCUCAACGGAUAAAAGGUACUCCGGGGAUAACAGGCUGAUACCGCCCAAGAGUUCAUAUCGACGGCGGUGUUUGGCACCUCGAUGUCGGCUCAUCACAUCCUGGGGCUGAAGUAGGUCCCAAGGGUAUGGCUGUUCGCCAUUUAAAGUGGUACGCGAGCUGGGUUUAGAACGUCGUGAGACAGUUCGGUCCCUAUCUGCCGUGGGCGCUGGAGAACUGAGGGGGGCUGCUCCUAGUACGAGAGGACCGGAGUGGACGCAUCACUGGUGUUCGGGUUGUCAUGCCAAUGGCACUGCCCGGUAGCUAAAUGCGGAAGAGAUAAGUGCUGAAAGCAUCUAAGCACGAAACUUGCCCCGAGAUGAGUUCUCCCUGACUCCUUGAGAGUCCUGAAGGAACGUUGAAGACGACGACGUUGAUAGGCCGGGUGUGUAAGCGCAGCGAUGCGUUGAGCUAACCGGUACUAAUGAACCGUGAGGCUUAACCUU
rnacentral:rRNA from 1 species